UUUUAUUAAGGUUUUAUUUGAGUCAAGUUUGUUAAGUAAACAGAUGGAUUUAAGAUGCUCUAAUUAGGUUCUGAUCUGAACUGGAUAGAUAACGUAUGAUAUCUUUAUUUGGAUGGCUUUUUAUGUAUGAAAGAAUUGCUUUAUGGGGCUGCCAAGUUGAUUGAUUCUAUGAAAAUAGAUUUCAUUGAUGAUUGGUAUGGUUGUAAUUGAGUAUAUUCGCAUGUAGUAGGGUUUUGGGUGUUCACUAUAAUAGGAAUUUAGAUGGUUGGUUUUGAUGUUAGAUUGUGGCUUUGUUCUAUUUGCCUUGCGCCAUAAGGUUCACAUUAGUUUUUUCCAUCUAUUUGUUGUCCCAUGUUGAACACACAGGGUUGCCUAGUCAACAAUGCAAUGAAAGAGAAAAAACAGAAGGAACAGUCUUCGAGUAAAGAAGUUAACAAGAAAGGAGGGUGUAAAAGGCCCCGCAAGGAAACUGACAAAUCUCCGUCUACCCAAGCCAAGACUACAUCUCAGCAUAGCUAUAAGGAAGCGGAUAAGGAAUCCAAGACUGGUACGAGGAGAAAGUUACCUGUCCGCAAAAGCCGAUCUAGACGCGGCAACUAAAAAGCAAUUCCAAGAGAAAAUUUACCAGGAAGCAAUGCUGCACCAUUGGUAGUCCCAGAUUCUGAUGAUGAUGACGACGUGCCGCUUACUAGAAGGAUACGGUUAUUCCAACAGUAGCCUCCGCCACAUGAUGUAAAAUAAGCAGAUCCCGUGGUCAAGGGCAAUCUUAAUAGUCCUCAAGAAGAAAACACUGACCUCAAAAGUGGAUCUCCACACACACCACCAGUAGCACUUGUACAGCUCAGUGACUAUGAUUUUGACCGCGAAUUCGACAUCUCAAUCGUUCAGUUUCCAGAAUUUGAGCAAGUACUCAAUAAUGUUGAACAGGGGCGCAAAAUAAAUGCCAUCAUCAUGCAGCCCUUGCAAACGGUGUUGCCAAAUAAAUCAAGCUACCAUACACCGAGUCCAGAGAGACAGAGCUUUUCACUCGGUUUAACUCAAUUUGAAAAGACUCCAACCCCUUCCCCGAUACAUUCAAUUCAUCCAACCCUAAGAAAUAUAAAGUUGGGGGAGACUAAGGAGGAACAAAUCAGAACAUGGAUAGUUAGCUCGUUCUUGGACGAAGAUCAAGAUUUAGCUAAGUAUGAAGGGCG